rnacentral:ncRNA from 1 species
UCGGGAAGCGCGGUGCGAAUCCGCCACUACCCCGUAACUGUAAGCGCCGAGAGGCCAUGCACGCACGUCAACGCCACUGGAGGCGCAAGCCUCUGGGAAGGCCGCAUGGACCUCGAUGACGCGCAAGCCAGGAGACCG